rnacentral:lncRNA from 1 species
CCGGGGUGGUGAGGAUCGUGGCCUUGACGCCACGGGCGGCGAAGAGUUUGGCCAUGUCGACCAUAGGGAUCAUGUGGCCGGGGGCCAAGAGAGGGAAGAAGAGGAUGUGGAGUUCUUCAGAGGCUGAGCCCAUGGUGCUUGUUAGGAGAAGGGGCAAGGAAUGGAGGGGAAGAUUGCCACGCAAUUUGAGGAAGAAGGACCAAGUACCUGUGGCCAGUCUUCC